AUGAACGCUGGCGGCGUGCCUAAUACAUGCAAGUCGAACGAGUUCUCGUUGAAUCUCGGUGCUUGCACCGAGAUUCAACAUGGAACGAGUGGCGGACGGGUGAGUAACACGUGGGUAACCUGCCCUUAAGUGGGGGAUAACAUUUGGAAACAGAUGCUAAUACCGCAUAGAUCCAAGAACCGCAUGGUUCUUGGCUGAAAGAUGGCGUAAGCUAUCGCUUUUGGAUGGACCCGCGGCGUAUUAGCUAGUUGGUGAGGUAAUGGCUCACCAAGGCGAUGAUACGUAGCCGAACUGAGAGGUUGAUCGGCCACAUUGGGACUGAGACACGGCCCAAACUCCUACGGGAGGCAGCAGUAGGGAAUCUUCCACAAUGGACGCAAGUCUGAUGGAGCAACGCCGCGUGAGUGAAGAAGGCUUUCGGGUCGUAAAACUCUGUUGUUGGAGAAGAAUGGUCGGCAGAGUAACUGUUGUCGGCGUGACGGUAUCCAACCAGAAAGCCACGGCUAACUACGUGCCAGCAGCCGCGGUAAUACGUAGGUGGCAAGCGUUAUCCGGAUUUAUUGGGCGUAAAGCGAGCGCAGGCGGUUUUUUAAGUCUGAUGUGAAAGCCCUCGGCUUAACCGAGGAAGCGCAUCGGAAACUGGGAAACUUGAGUGCAGAAGAGGACAGUGGAACUCCAUGUGUAGCGGUGAAAUGCGUAGAUAUAUGGAAGAACACCAGUGGCGAAGGCGGCUGUCUGGUCUGUAACUGACGCUGAGGCUCGAAAGCAUGGGUAGCGAACAGGAUUAGAUACCCUGGUAGUCCAUGCCGUAAACGAUGAAUGCUAGGUGUUGGAGGGUUUCCGCCCUUCAGUGCCGCAGCUAACGCAUUAAGCAUUCCGCCUGGGGAGUACGACCGCAAGGUUGAAACUCAAAGGAAUUGACGGGGGCCCGCACAAGCGGUGGAGCAUGUGGUUUAAUUCGAAGCAACGCGAAGAACCUUACCAGGUCUUGACAUCUUUUGAUCACCUGAGAGAUCAGGUUUCCCCUUCGGGGGCAAAAUGACAGGUGGUGCAUGGUUGUCGUCAGCUCGUGUCGUGAGAUGUUGGGUUAAGUCCCGCAACGAGCGCAACCCUUAUGACUAGUUGCCAGCAUUUAGUUGGGCACUCUAGUAAGACUGCCGGUGACAAACCGGAGGAAGGUGGGGAUGACGUCAAAUCAUCAUGCCCCUUAUGACCUGGGCUACACACGUGCUACAAUGGAUGGUACAACGAGUUGCGAGACCGCGAGGUCAAGCUAAUCUCUUAAAGCCAUUCUCAGUUCGGACUGUGGGCUGCAACUCGCCUACACGAAGUCGGAAUCGCUAGUAAUCGCGGAUCAGCACGCCGCGGUGAAUACGUUCCCGGGCCUUGUACACACCGCCCGUCACACCAUGAGAGUUUGUAACACCCGAAGCCGGUGGCGUAACCCUUUUAGGGAGCGAGCCGUCUAAGGUGGGACAAAUGAUUAGGGUG
rnacentral:rRNA from 1 species